CUGGAUCUUCAGGAACAGUGGCGGCACUUCUUCUCCACGCGCCCCCGCCACUGGCAGCGCCUGGGUUCACGCACCGCCGCAAACAACGCUCAGGAAGCGGGUGGAUCUGGCCUUAGCUUCCUCCCUUCUUCCUUCCCUCGCCGGUGGUGACAAGCAACGUCACCUGUGAAGCAAAGGAAACGCAACAAACAGACAAUUUUGUUCGGUUUUAGAUCUGUUCAAAGCCUUCUGUUCUCUUUUCCUCCCGGUUUGUUUUUUCCUUCUGCCGAUGGCAGAUCUAGUUGUUGCUGUUGUCCGAGGCCACUAAAGCUGCGGUGGAUAUGGGAGGUGGUUGUCCGGUCAGGGGGUUCGGUUGGAAAUGGAUCUAGAUCUACAAGUCCAGCCGUGUGCGGGUUGAUGCUGGAGGGUCUGCUUCGGGUCUUGACAAGCUGGCUGGUGAUGGUGUGAAGAAGAAACUGAAACGGCCAGCAAGAAGGGAGAGUGAAGGGGAACGACUCUGGGUCUGUCGGGUCUUUGUAGAGGCUGAAGAAGGUAAGACCUGCUGGAUGAGGGCAAAAGGAAAUGGGGAAAAAAUAGAGGUCGGUCUGUGGGGGGAAAUGGAAAGGGAAACAGGGGGAAAGACUGCAAUGGCAGAGAGGGCUAGAAGCUUUUGCUCUCUGGUUCUCUUUGGCCGAAGGGAGGGGAGCACUAGCUUUGGGAGGAAAGCCCGGUGAGCAAGGAAAGGCUUUGCUGGUGAGAGGGGGAGUGACAGUGAGAAGGAUAUGGUGGCUGGAGAAAGGGAGCGGCCAAGGAAGAAGAAAAUCCCAAAACCAGAAGGGGUGCGGCUGCAUUUUUUGUUUUGCCAAGUGGGUGCAACCGGCUGGUUUGGAAGAGAUGGGUUUUUAGGGUUAGGGUUUUUUUUGUGUUCCCUCUAAAUGUGCAAAAUUAUCCCCCCUUGUGUAUGUGUUGGAAACUUCUAUUUAUAGGCAAAAAUGUUGUUAGGUCCCCAAACUUGGUCCCUCAACUUUUUUCUUUUUUUGUAAAUUUGAUUUUUCUUAUUUUUUGGAUAUUUCUUAUUAACAUCAAUUCGAAAGAGGAAAAUUAUUGAUUUCAAAAGGUUUUCUUAUCAAAACGCGUUUGACUUUUCAUUCGUUAUUUUUAAAAUCAAUGAUUUUCCUCAUUCGAGUUGAUGUUGAUAAGAAAAAUCCAAUUAAAAUUUGAAAAAUCAAAUUUACAAAAAAAAAGAAGUUGAGGGACCAAGUUUGGGGACCUAACAACAUUUUUACCUAUAAAUAUAAGUUUCCAACACAUACACAAGGGGGGGCAAUUUUGCACAUCUGGAGAGAAUACAAAAAACCCUAACCCUAAAAAUUCAUCUCUUUCAAACCAGCCGGUCGCCCCCUCCUGGCCAAAAACAAAAAGUUGUCGCACUCCUGGCUUUGAUUUUUCUCUCCCAAGCCCAGCACCUCUUUUCUUCAUCCCCACACACGCCCGGCCACCACACAUUUUCCUUUCCCAGUCGGCCACAAUACAGCCCCUCACCAGACCUUCCCUCUCAUGGCCAACACAGACAGAGACCAUCUUCUACACCUCCCUUUCCCGGCCGGCUCACCUCAAGCCUCCCCUUUCCUACACACGGCUGAAACCGUCAACCCCACAACCAUCCCCAUCUUCAGACCAGCCAAGGCAGCCCUUCACUUUUCUCCUUCACCAUCACCGGCUAGCUUGACAAGACCCGAAUCAGACCCUCCAGUAACAGCCCGAACACAGCGGCGCCUGCCUUCCAGCCCGUAGCCAACAGAUCUUCCCUCUUCUACCGGCCACAGAUCCAGCUCCACUUCCAACCAAAAUCACCGACCGAACCAGAUCCCCCUUCAUUCGGCCUCCGAUAGCAAUUGCCGACACCAACCCAAGAUCAGACCAAACACAGCGGCGCAUACAGACCCAGAUCUGUCCGCCUUCUUCCCCGCAGCAGCUCCCACUCACAGCAAACCGAGGAAGAAAGAAGACCAAGAACAGAUCUAAAAAGGGAAAGACAAACUAAAAUCAACUGGUUGUUGCGAUUUUACCGUUUGUGCAGGUCACUGCCGGCGAGAAAAAGAAACCAAGAGGAAGCCAUUGCAGAUCUCCCCUGUCGCCUGUCUUUUACAGCCGCGCAUGGAGAGAACGCGCCACCACGUUUCAUACAACCUCAGAGGGUUGCCCGGCACUAUUCUGAAUUUUUUUGGGUUUAUUUUGUAAAUUCCAAAUUGUUUGAUGUAAUGUUUGUUUAGUUUUUUUGAAUUUUUAUAAUUUGUAGCGUGCAAAUGUGGAUGUAAAAAAGGGAAAAGAAAAAUGGUGAAAAUGAGUUUUGUUUGUAUUUUUUUUUUAUUUAUGGAUGUUUUUUUAUAAUAAAAUUGCAAAGAAUAAAGAAGAAUUUAAUGUUUUGACUUACUCACGGUAAAAGAUUAUGAACUUACAUGUAAGUCGUAUUUCUAAUAUCCGAUGAAAAGACAAUUUUUAAACCUUUUUAUCACAUCAAAUCGCGAAGCAGCUUACCUCAAGUAGGGUGUUAAUACCUUCGUAAAGAUGGGUUCUAUUCAUUAUGUGAACAUGGGUAGGUUUUCUACCUGGUCUCAAAAGGGUCUCAUAUCUGCCUAGUGACGAUCUUCGUAAAGAUAGUGUAGGGGUGUUGCGAGAAAUAGUUAAGGCAUGUAUACUCACCAUUACCAAGCAGACACUCAGAUAUGAGUUGGGUGUUUCACGCAUCUGAACCCUGACCAAUAGUUAUAGGACAAAUCGUUAGUUCUUCACCUAACUUAGAAGCUUGUGUGAGCUUUUAAAAAUUAAAACAUGUGAUGCAUGAGACAAUUCUAUAAAAUGCACGGAAACAGAAACAUUAACAAAAAGAUAAAAUUGCAAAAACUUAAACACAUCAAAUACACAAAGCUUGGUCCAAUAUUGUCAGAAACAAUACCUUCCCAAGAGGAGUCGUCAUUCUGUCACGCGUCACAGUGAUAUAUGAUUUUCCAUAUAUUUUUUCAAAACACGUGAUAUAAAGUUAUUGAUCAAAUGAUAAGCACAUAACUAAACAUUUUAUAAACAUAAAAGAUAUCUUGAAUGGUUCAUGUAUACAAUCAUCCUGAUUACUACUUAUCAUAAAUCACUAAUAUAUUUAAUAACAUAAUUUAUAUUUUUAUCACAUGUAUUAAUUUUUAAAUGUGAUUUAAAAAAAUAAAAUUAUUGGUCACAUUUGUGAGAUUCUUUGCAUAAAUUUUUUAGAAUGUAAUUUCAUGAUGUGCUAAAAAACAUUAAAGAGAUCAUUUUUAAAAAAAGUUCAAAAAAAUAAAAAAGAUUGUGCUGGGUACCUCAAUAGGUGAAAAAAACAUUUCAACUCCCCUGAUUCGAUCGGAAGUGAAUGAUGGUUAUGGAGUUACCCAAGUCAGGUGCGAAAACAUUAAAAAAAAAACACUGACCCAACCUGACCAUUGACCAUCCCUUCUACCAAAUAUCAAGGCCAAUUCUUGAAUUUCGGUUCAAAAAAAUGUUGGAAAGAAGUUCCUAGAAAUAUGUUUCACUUAGUUUCCCAAAGAAGAUCGUAGAUAGAAAAGGUAUUACAAUUUUUAUAUAAUACCAGAAACAAGGAAUGGGAGGAGCUUAUAAAUUUGUGAUCAGGCAAUUGAAAGAUACAAGGAAUUGAUAUGCAGAAGCAUGCAUCUUAGGGGAUGAUACAAGAUUUUUUCUUAAAAUUAAACAGUAGACAUACAUCUAAUGCCAUGUCAAUCUGAAUUCACACAGUAUACCUUUUUAAAAGAACAACUAUACACAGCAUACAACAAGCAAAUAGAAAAGAAUAUGCAAAAGAAAGAGAAAUAUAGUAUGCUAAAACAACAUGGAAGACAGCACUGACCAUUUGCUUUUUAACUUGAAGGUACAUGGUUUGCAUGUACUCCCUCCAACAACCGUGUAGUUAUCUGCAGAUCCAUUUCAUAACUAGCAACCGAGGUAUUAACAUGGUUAUAGAGGCACAAACAGAGGAAAACCAGUUUCUAUAUAGUCCUAAAAGUUCAUUCCUUUACUACCACUGAACUUCUCAAGAGGAGCCACACAAAAUGAUAAUUUGACCCUUCAAACCAAGCAAGACCAAAUUAAAAAUGAACCUGUGGGCACUGUACCAGCCAGCAGUGAGACAGAAUUGACACCAUCCGCAGCCCACUAAAGUUGGCAAGCUGUUAACUGAAACAGCAAAAAAACCUCCAUCUCAAAAAGCAUUAGACAGCAACUAAUUGUAGGUGUGGUCAAUUAUUACUUCCUGUAACAUAAAAAAGCAUAGUGCAAAUAAAUGUAUAAAAAAACCAUGAGUCAAUAGCGAGUAGUAGAGUCAUUCCACAAAAGCAUGAAGAGUAAAUUUUUUCCCUCAUAUUUGCUUCUAUCUUUUAUGUGAAACAACCAACUAAAUAGCAUAUUCCUCAAGGGGAUAACAAAGCGGCUAUUUAGAAGGAAUUCCAGAUUACAUCAAUCAUCUCAUAGGUAAUAAGAGAGCACUAAGAUCAUCCACUGACAGCACAUAAGGUCAUUUUACAAGAGGCAAACCUGGUCACAUAUGGGGCAGAUGUCACUCCUUUCCAUCCACUCUAGAAUGCAGGAAAGGUGAAAAUGAUGUUCGCAUUUCGUGAUGUGUUUUGGAUUCUCCAAGUCAUACUCUGCAAAUGCAAGCAGACAAAGCUGACUAAUUACUUUUGGACAACUACACAUCAAUUCAGGAGACCUUGAUUUACUUCUCUUUAUCCAGAAAAACUGUAAAAACAUAAAUUGAAAACAGCAUUUAUCUCGUAUGAGAAAAGGCACCACCACACCUUCAAGGCAUAUCGGACAAGCAUCUUCUUCUGUUGCUGAUGCAACAGGUUCAUGGAAUUUUUUCACGUCUGACUUCCUUGGGGAGAAAAGAAAUGAACUAGCAUGAGUUUUGCAGUCCAAUUCUUCAAGAUCUUCACAUGUUGCCAAAGUUUCAAAACUACUGCGACUAAUUAUUUCCCUAACAGACUCAGAAUCUGGUGAUUGUGGACAUCCCAAAACCACAUCAUAUGGCAGAGGCACAGGAGGGGGGUGGAAAGUAUCAGGCGUUGAUGUAUUCAAAUUCAAUUCAACAAGGAGACCUGCAGUGAAUGCAGAGGCUGCAACAUUGUGAGAUGUUAAGGAGACAUGCUCUUCCAAAGCUGGCGGACACUGCACAUGGAUGUUAUAAAUUUCAAGAUGAUAUUUUGUUAGCCAAAAGAACCUAUAUGAGCCCAUUUUCAAGAUAUUUUGCUUGAAGUGGUAGUAGUUUUAGGCUAUGUCAUUGUAGAAUGGAGUAGAAAAAAAGUGCAGAAUACAAACUUUGAGUAUCAGUCUGUUCUAAGAAUUAUUUAUAAAUGCAUCUUACAUCAUUUCUCUUACAGAAUCUCAACAAUAAAGCUCCCUCAAACCUAUAGAUUACAAUUCAAUUAAGCAAUCAUUCACAAAAAUUGAUCAAUCAAAUGGCACUUUUGAACAGCAUCAAGGUUUUUCUCUAUUUGGCUUGCUGUCAUUCAAGGAACGGAUUGUGAAAUAGUGCAAGAAUUAGAAAGCUAAAAUUAGAGGCAUGUUUUUAAGCUUAUAUUCAUGGCUAAAACAACUGAGUUAUAACAUGUUCUGUCCCCUAUAUGUGCAACGUUGACCCUAAAAUUCUCCCAUUAUCGCAUAAAACAUUCUCAAGAAUAGCCUUUCCUUUCCCAAUCCAAACUGAUUGAACACCAAAGUGUAACAUUUCACAGGUGUAACAGCCAUUAAAUAACCCCAGCUCCACUUCAAAACUAUCUCUAUAGCAGUGCAUUUAUAUGAGGAUAAACUGUAGCAAAUGGGGAAAACCAAAAACGCCAUCUUGUAUGAUAACAACCCCACCCAGUUUAAACCUCAAAGAGAGAUCCUAAAACUCUAGCUAGUUCCGAAUCCUAUGCACAAUUCCGAAAAGCACAACUUUCGCCCUGCAAGAACCCACAUCCACUUCAACAGAAGCAAGAAACCAUAAUGACACAACAUUAAUGUCAACCAAAUCUACUAGAACAAACAUGACCGGCAGAUAUCAUAUACAUAUACUUAGAGAGUAAGGAUAAAGUAAAUAUUACUAACAUAAUAAUAAACGGGCGUUCCGUUUAAAUGAGGUUUCCUUGAAGAACAACAGCAACCUCCCAUUCCCUGCAAUCUUGUUUCUGUUAUUCAAUAAAUGGUACCAAUGGUUGUGGCAUAGCUAAGCUACCUGUUAUUUCCCAUCAAAAGAACAGUAUAGUUUAUACGUGUCACUAAUAUCAUCACCUUAAAAAUCACAAAAACUAAUAAUACAUAAGUUAUUAGCAGACACUAUCAUGCGUCAAAUUCGGAACCCAAAUGGGCAAAGAGAAGAGAUAAACCCUAAUUUGAAAGGUCACAGAGAUGCCUAUAUUAGAAAGAAAACUGUAAUUUAAAAAGUUAAGAAAAAAAAGGAGAGGGAGAAGGAGAGUCUAUCAGUACUAAAAGAUGUGAAGGAUGAAGCUUACCUGAAGAGAGACGCCGAAGCAAAAUACGAUUCGGUGAGAAGAAAGGGAGGGCAGGGAAGGGAGGGGAGGGGAGGGGAGGAGUGACUCUGCUUUUUGUAAUUUUGUCUUUGUUGCUUUAUACUUUUUUCUGUUGCUGCUUUCCUCACUGCGCACUCCACUCAUUUUGAUAAUACAGACUCAUUAUCCCUUUUGAGUCUGAGUUGAGUCGAGUCUUUUGCCUAAUUAAUUAAUUAAUUAAUGGAGUUAAGGUUGUAAAAAACAUAUUUUUAACACGGUAUAAAAAAUAUAAUAUAAAUAAAAUAAAUUGUAAAAUCAUAAGAAAAUUUUAUAUGUAUAUAAUAUUCAAUAUCUUAAAAUAAAUAUUUAAAUAAAAAUUUAUACAUGGUUCAAAUACUUAAAAAUAUAUAAUUUAAAUAAAAAUAAAUAUAUAAUUUAAAAAUACAAUAUAAUUAUCCAUGUUGAUAAAUUUUCAUUAGCUAACACUUAAAACUUCUGGAGAUUUAAAUUUUGCUUGAUGAUUUGAAAUAUAAAAAAUUGUAUUACUUCUCUGUUUUUACAAUCUAUUCUCUCACAAUUUACAUUCCACAUAUCUAAGUUUCUUCCCAUUUUCAAACUUCAACCAGAAUUUAACUUUUAUUGGAUCUCCACCUUCUCCUAAAAAAAUCACCUGCAAGUUUUCAAAUGGCCUAAACCAAGAACGUGGAAUAUGGUCCCUGACUCCCUGGUAUACACAGAAUGUAAACUUUUUGACAUUGCAGCAACAAAAUCUAUUUUUUCUUCAAGCAUUUAUGACAAGUUUUCUUUCCUCUGGAAAAGACACAAAAUAACUGAUAAAUUUCAUGAGGACAAACUAAGUAGAAUGUUGAAUUAGUCCGUAGAUAACAACUGGGAUGCAUAAAAGCUCAGAUAACAACAACAAAAGUAAAUGCAUAAAGCUCAUGGAUCGACUGGCAGAUCUCUCUUCAUGAUAAUCUAGAUCAGUUAAUGUUUGUGAGGUUAGAAAGAAAUGGAGUUAUUAUCUCAAAAGUCAUAGGCUUUUGAAACCAGCCAUUUAGACCUGCUUCCAUGAAAGUUUGCUGUUGAUCAGGAGCCUCAGCAGUACUCGAGGUGUAACCAAUAAUGUUGCUCUCCACACCCAAAGCUCGCAGUUCCCUUAUUUCCUGUUUCAAUUAAGAAGCAGGUGAAUAUGAUGUUGAUUGCUUCAGAUGAGUAAAACUUGACAACUUGCAUUACUUAGAAAAGUCGUUGAUAAUGGGAAAAAAAGAGAGUGUUGUUGAUGAAGAGGAAGCCGCCGAUCUCACAGUAGCUGGUUAAUUGUUGAGAGAGCCUGAGACUGAGAGAAAGAGAUUAGGGUAAAUGUUGUAUGUGGUGUGUGGCUAUUGGCUG
rnacentral:lncRNA from 1 species